rnacentral:rRNA from 1 species
AGGUAAGCUACUAAGAGCGAAUGGUGGAUGCCUUGACUGGUAAAGGCGAUGAAGGACGUACUAGACUGCGAUAAGCUACGGGGAGCUGUCAAGAAGCUUUGAUCCGUAGAUUUCCGAAUGGGGCAACCCAAUGUAUAGAGAUAUACAUUACCUAUAUAGGAGCGAACGAGGGGAAUUGAAACAUCUUAGUACCCUCAGGAAAAGAAAUCAAUAGAGAUUGCGUCAGUAGCGGCGAGCGAAAGCGCAAGAGGGCAAACCCAGUGCUUGCACUGGGGGUUGUAGGACUGCAAUGUGCAAGAGCUGAGUUUAGCAGAACAUUCUGGAAAGUAUAGCCAUAGAGGGUGAUAGUCCCGUAUGCGAAAAACAAAGCUUAGCUAGCAGUAUCCUGAGUAGGGCGGGACACGAGGAAUCCUGUCUGAAUCUGGGUCGACCACGAUCCAACCCUAAAUACUAAUACCAGAUCGAUAGUGCACAAGUACCGUGAGGGAAAGGUGAAAAGAACUGAGGUGAUCAGAGUGAAAUAGAACCUGAAACCAUUUGCUUACAAUCAUUCAGAGCACUAUGUAGCAAUACAGUGUGAUGGACUGCCUUUUGCAUAAUGAGCCUGCGAGUUGUGGUGUCUGGCAAGGUUAAGCAAACGCGAAGCCGUAGCGAAAGCGAGUCUGAAUAGGGCGCUUAGUCAGAUGCUGCAGACCCGAAACGAAGUGAUCUAUCCAUGAGCAAGUUGAAGCUAGUGUAAGAACUAGUGGAGGACUGAACCCAUAGGCGUUGAAAAGCCCCGGGAUGACUUGUGGAUAGGGGUGAAAGGCCAAUCAAACUUCGUGAUAGCUGGUUCUCUCCGAAAUAUAUUUAGGUAUAGCGUUGUGUCGUAAUAUAAGGGGGUAGAGCACUGAAUGGGCUAGGGCAUACACCAAUGUACCAAACCCUAUCAAACUCCGAAUACCUUAUAUGUAAUCACAGCAGUCAGGCGGCGAGUGAUAAAAUCCGUCGUCAAGAGGGAAACAACCCAGACUACCAGCUAAGGUCCCUAAAUCUUACUUAAGUGGAAAACGAUGUGAAGUUACUUAAACAACCAGGAGGUUGGCUUAGAAGCAGCCAUCCUUUAAAGAAAGCGUAAUAGCUCACUGGUCUAGUGAUUUUGCGCGGAAAAUAUAACGGGGCUAAAGUAAGUACCGAAGCUGUAGACUUGCACACAACUUAGAUUAUUUAAGUUUAGAAUAAGUAGUUUAAGUUGUGUGCAAGUGGUAGGAGAGCGUUCUAUUUGCGUCGAAGGUAUACCGGUAAGGAGUGCUGGAGCGAAUAGAAGUGAGCAUGCAGGCAUGAGUAGCGAUAAUUAAUGUGAGAAUCAUUAACGCCGUAAACCCAAGGUUUCCUACGCGAUGCUCGUCAUCGUAGGGUUAGUCGGGUCCUAAGUCGAGUCCGAAAGGGGUAGACGAUGGCAAAUUGGUUAAUAUUCCAAUACCAACAUUAGUGUGCGAUGGAAGGACGCUUAGGGCUAAGGGGGCUAGCGGAUGGAAGUGCUAGUCUAAGGUUGUAGGAGGUUAUACAGGCAAAUCCGUAUAACAAUACUCCGAGAACUGAAAGGCUUUUUGAAGUCUUCGGAUGGAUAGAAGAACCCCUGAUGCCGUCGAGCCAAGAAAAGUUUCUAAGUUUAGCUAAUGUUGCCCGUACCGUAAACCGACACAGGUGGGUGGGAUGAGUAUUCUAAGGCGCGUGGAAGAACUCUCUUUAAGGAACUCUGCAAAAUAGCACC